CUAAAACAAAAAAAAACUUUUUAAUUAAAAGGAUUAAAAUCAACCCCUUAAAAAAAAUAACAAUUUAACCAAACUAAAAAAAUUAAAACAAAAGUUAUUUUUUCCUACUUUCUUCUUCGCACUUCUUCCCUCUCGUCUCCUACAUUUGGCUUGUGCAUUUUUUUCUUCUUGCGUUUGGCUUCUAGGUAUGGUCGGAGGCGUCGUUGAUGGAAGCAUGGUGGCGGGGCUUAUGCAGCAAGGCGAGAUCGCGAUGGUGGUUCUCCAUUGACGGUGGCAGGAAGAAGAAACAAAGAAAGGGAAAAGAGAGAAGUCAGGGAGCUUGGUCGCAAUGGUACAACCACGAGGCAGGAUCGGGGUUGGGGUCAUAGAUCUGGACAUCGAAUAUGAGGAUCGGGCCAUGGAUUUAAGUUUCUAGGUUUUUUUUUGGUGAGUUAAUUAUGGGUUUGCUUGAAUCUGGGAUUUCUUGAACCUAAGUUGGGUAUUUGAUUGAAAGUAAGCUUGGUAUUUGCUUGAAAUUUCUGGGUUUUUUUUUUUUUCAAAUAUGUAAAAAAAAAAUUCUAGGAUGUUGUAUAAGUUGUACUGAUAUGGAUUUAAGUUGAUCAUUAUCAUGGGAUAAUCAAUUUUUGUAUGGUUAUAAAAAAUGAGAAAUUUAUUUGUUUA